rfam:Tetrapisispora phaffii CBS 4417 chromosome 3, complete genome
GCUCGUGUAGCUCAGUGGUUAGAGCUUCGUGCUUAUAGAUACAAUCGGAGACUCGAAGUAUUCUGUACUCAAUGAUCUGUAAAAAGGAUUCUUUGUGAAAAAAGCAACGCGAACGUCGAGGGUUCAAACCCCUCCUCGAGCA